CAAUAGCGUAUAUUAAAGUUGUUGCAGUUAAAAAGCUCGUAGUUGGAUUUGUGGCGUACGGUGGGUUCCGGGCACUUGUUGUCUGAGUAACUUGCUGUUGCCAUCCUUGGGUGGAACCUGUGUGGCAUUAGGUUGUCGUGCAGGGGAUGCCCAUCAUUUACUGUGAAAAAACUAGAGUGUUCAAAGCAGGCUUAUGCCGUUGAAUAUAUUAGCAUGGAAUAAUGAGAUAGGACUUUUUUGCUAUUUUGUUGGUUUGCGCAAAGAGGUAAUGAUUAAUAGGGACAGUUGGGGGUAUUCGUAUUCCAUUGUCAGAGGUGAAAUUCUUGGAUUUUUGGAAGACGAACUACUGCGAAAGCAUUUACCAAGGAUGUUUUCAUUAA
rnacentral:rRNA from 1 species